rnacentral:lncRNA from 1 species
UUUUCUUUGCAUAGUCACUCUUAUAUAAGCUGCUAGGUUGUUUCCUCACAAUUCAGAAAAAAAGAAAUAAAAUAUAUAGCAUCAGUUUUUUUGUCACUUUCAGUUUCACUUCUUACGAGGCAAUCUAUGCAGGGGUUUUAGGACUGUUUGGGCUCAUUUUUAACAUGAUAACCCCCAAUUGGUUUCUUCCCGAGAAGAACAUGGUAAUGCAAUGCAAUAGGGGGGAAUACGGAGCAGUAUAUAUUUGUGCGCGCGUGGUAGUAGUAGUAGUAAUACUACUAUAACAUUAGCAAGCUGCAAAAUUUGCCCAAAUCCAGCUACACCACGUCUGAAAAUUAGGCAUUUUUUAUUUACAAGUAUCCGGAAAUUAACAACUCUUACGCUUCCACAGCUAGCUAAUCUUGGUCAAUGAUAGCGUAUACUUGUGUGAAAUAAGGUGGUGAUGUCUUUAUAAAAUUGUUGGUUUACACAUCUUGCAUGCAGCUAAUGAAUAAAAAAUGGGAAAGUUGUAGAUAUUUUGCUUCAGGUACAAAUAAAAAAUGCUAAACCUAUGCGAGUGACGAUUCCCUUUUGAUAGGUACAUACUAUCUUUAGACAUAAAUAGAGUAAAACAUUAAUUAUAUGUAUACAUUGCCUUGACAUUGAUGUAGUCAAGGUUGUCUCCUAUUUGUGUACUGCAUAAAGCUUUAGAGGCCUAUAAUAUUGAACCCCUAGAUCAUCUUUAAAGUUGUUUAAUCGUAGGACAUAAAAACACAAUAAUAAUAAUAUAGGGGAAUAUUAUUUUCACAAGUGUUUUUAAUAUUUCUACAGUGUUCUUUCUCACAUCACAUGAAGGUAUAACCCAUUGUAUGCUUAGGUGAGUGAAGACUGUGGAAAAUACAUGGGGAAAUAUCAGUUCGCAUAAUAUUAUGGUCAAUUCUAGAGUUGAUUGUAUAUACUUUUUGCCUAUUUGCCUAUUUGCCUAUUUGUCUACAGGAGUAUAAUAUAAGCUACAAGUUGAAAAUUAAUGUGAUAAGCUUCAUGUUUUACCCCUACGAGUAUUUAAUUAUGUAGGAGUUGGUAUUUGCUGACUAAAGAAGCUGCAUUUGUAAGUUUUAAUAUUGAUCCAGGAAGAUAUUUAAUACAUUUUCUUCAUUGCUCAAGUCCAGGUUAUAGCUAUUAGCAACUUGAUGUUGGUCCAUGUAAAUGGCUGGCUGGCUAAAAUUAUCAUUAGUACUUGGUCUGUCAUGGAAGUCUGCUUCUUUACAAGUCUGAGGUUCUUAAUAAUACUUAAUAUUGCAAUCAAUACUCAAUAUUCGGGAUAAAUAACGUUUUGGUCAUUGUACUGGGGUUCGGUUUUCAUUGUGGUUACCGAAACUUUUUUUAUUACAAUCGAAUAACUGUACUUUCAAAAACUUACAAAAUGGUCAUUCCGUCCGAUUUUUCAUCCAAAAAAUGUUAGGAAUGCUGACUGUGCAAGUUGACUUGACUUUUUUGCUUACGUGAAGCUCAGAAAAUACAAGCAGGCGGAUUAUUAUAACACAAAUGACCAAAAUUAUUAACUACUUCAC